GAACGCUGGCGGCAUGCCUUACACAUGCAAGUCGAACGGCAGCACGGGAGCAAUCCUGGUGGCGAGUGGCGAACGGGUGAGUAAUAUAUCGGAACGUGCCCAGUCGUGGGGGAUAACGUAGCGAAAGCUACGCUAAUACCGCAUACGAUCUACGGAUGAAAGCGGGGGAUCGCAAGACCUCGCGCGAUUGGAGCGGCCGAUAUCAGAUUAGGUAGUUGGUGAGGUAAAGGCUCACCAAGCCAACGAUCUGUAGCUGGUCUGAGAGGACGACCAGCCACACUGGAACUGAGACACGGUCCAGACUCCUACGGGAGGCAGCAGUGGGGAAUUUUGGACAAUGGACGCAAGUCUGAUCCAGCCAUUCCGCGUGCAGGAUGAAGGCCCUCGGGUUGUAAACUGCUUUUGUACGGAACGAAAAGGUUUCUAUUAAUACUAGGAGCUCAUGACGGUACCGUAAGAAUAAGCACCGGCUAACUACGUG
rnacentral:rRNA from 1 species